rnacentral:ncRNA from 2 species
CCAGUCUAAGCGGGAGAGAUCGCCACCCGGGCGUCCGGGGCUCAGGCGACGCCGAAGGAGCAACCGCCCCGGAAACUCUCAGGCUGAAGGACCGCUUGGUAAGC